CUGGGAGGAAACAGCCUCUGUAGAAAUCAAGGUUUCCUGCUCUGUGAGGGCUGAUGCGGUGCCAUGGAGAUACUUCCUGUGACUUUGCCAGGCAAACUGGAGGCCAGGGGAAAGAUCGGGAGUGUGAAGUCCUGACUUCUCAGCUACUCAGAAACCCCUCUAAGCCUCGAUGUUUUCAUCUGAAAAAUGACAGUGGCAAACUGCUUAUAGAGGGACUGUCAGGAUCAAACGAGAUAUGGUUAUGAAGGCGCAUUGAAAACGGUGCCACCAUGGACACACGAGUUGCUAUUUCUGCCUGCCACCUCCACAGACCCCAGUUCACCACCAGCUGCAAUCUCUACAAGUGGCCCUGCCUUCCUGAAAACCCCAAACCAAGACUUGCCUCCCUGGGCAUCUGAGUCCACCCCAUCCUCUCUCCUCGGGCUUACUUACUCAACCUACACCACAGGGAAAUGCACCAGUUGCUUAAGAGCCCUGGAAAAAAGCAAAAAGAAAACCAAAAACAAAGUAACACAAAAACCCAGAGGGACAAGGAAACAGAGGGAAACCACAGACUCCCACAGGUAAGCACUGAGGGCAGCUUCCUCCCCAAGCGCUUCCUAACCCUUCUGUUCCUAGCCAAGGGGGAACCCAGGUUUCCAGCAGCUCUUCCUGAGUCUGAGCCCCAUCCAGCAGGUCAGGGCCUGGGUGGGGGCAGCCAGGGUGCUGUUUCCAGGCACGGGCUGCCUCCCACCCUUCUAAAGUACUGCGACUUGGCACAUCUCACCAGGCAGCUGAGCUGAGCACUCGAGUCAGCCAAACACCCUUCUGGGCUCUCGGCUCAUCAGGGGCCGCCCUGGGAGACAGCAAGUCCUGUUCUCCAUGUACUCUAGCAUGAAGGAUAGGCCGUGUGACCUCAGCAGGCCCCUUCCCUCCUGGGACCCAGUUUCCUGGUCUGUAAAAUGGGAAUAAAAACAGUUGCUUUGCUAACCCACAGGAUAGUGAUGAGCAGGGAUGGAAGUGCCAGCUGUGAAGGACGUCUGUGAGCUGUGUGUGCAGCACACACAGUUCAGGGGAUCCCGAUGUCCUACCUGCUCUAGGCUGGCUUGUGUUCAUGUCACCCACAGCAGGCUUCCAAGCAGAGCAGGGAUAGGAGUUAGCUUUCUUAGGGGUGUGUUUUCUUGAAGGGUGACCCUGAAUUGGGGUAUCUUCAAGAAGAUCUGUUUGGGGGCUGCCUCUCUCCUUCAGAGGUUUGUGUAGAGAGUGUCAGUGGGGUAGAGGUUGGGAGGGGGCCAUCGCCGGGAAGAAAGGCUCUUCCAAAAGGCUUCCAUCCUCCUGGCCCAAGCAGCACCCCACACCCUCUUCUCCACCCACCAACCCCAAAUCUUCAGAUUUCUCUGGGCAGCUCCAGCCUCAGUUCCUUGGUCCCUCAGGUCUCCAGGUAAGAAACAGUCUGGGGGGAAUGGGGGAAGCAGAUCACCCCGGGACUUCCUCCUCCCUCGUCUCCCUUCUCCACCGGUGGGCUCAUACCAGCAGGAUCAGGGACACAGAGCUGAGGCCAAGGAGCAGAGGGACUCGGCCAACCUGGUUCAGAUGCCUGCGGAAAACCUGCCCCAUAGCCCUGUUUGUGAAGUUGAUCUUUCUCUCCCAUGGGCUUGGUAAAAUCUCUAUAUUUGAAA
rnacentral:lncRNA from 1 species